CGAACGAGAAGCUUUCCUUCGGGAAAGUGGAAAGUGGCGCACGGGUGCGUAACACGUGGGUAACCAACCCUUUAGUCUGGAAUAACGGUGGGAAACCACCGCUAAUACCGGAUGUGUCGACCUCUUCUUCGGAUAGGGUCGGGAAAGGCCAGCAAAGGUCGCUAAAGGACGGGCUCGCGGCCCAUCAGCUUGUUGGUGAGGUAAUGGCUCACCAAGGCUAAGACGGGUAGCUGGUCUGAGAGGAUGAUCAGCCACACUGGAACUGAGACACGGUCCAGACUCCUACGGGAGGCAGCAGUGGGGAAUAUUGCGCAAUGGACGAAAGUCUGACGCAGCCACGCCGCGUGAGCGAUGAAGGCCCUCGGGUCGUAAAGCUCUGUGGAUGGAGAAGAAUAAAGGCUGUGAAGAGCAGCCCUUGACGGUAUCCAUUUAGCAAGCACCGGCUAACUCCGUGCCAGCAGCCGCGGUAAUACGGAGGGUGCAAACGUUGCUCGGAAUCAUUGGGCGUAAAGCGCGCGUAGGCGGCUUGGUAAGUUGGAUGUGAAAGCCCAGGGCUCAACCCUGGAAGUGCAUCCAAAACUACCUGGCUUGAAUUGCGGAGGGGGCCAGAGAAUUCCCGGUGUAGGGGUGAAAUUCGUAGAUAUCGGGAGGAAUACCAGUGGCGAAGGCGCUGGCCUGGACGACAAUUGACGCUGAGGUGCGAAAGCGUGGGGAGCGAACAGGAUUAGAUACCCUGGUAGUCCACGCCG
rnacentral:rRNA from 1 species